CUGCCAGGCAAGAUGAAGAUGUCAUCCAAAUGGCUUUUUUUGCCUUGAGGAUAUGAUAUUAUUUUGAAAUGUGAACGACAUCAUCUUACACUCUAGGAUUUUAUUUAAUUUCUCUUAUUGUAUGGUACAUAAAGAGUGCUUUCCAGAGUAGAAACACACUCCUCUACUACAGUGUAAAAUACUGUGUUUUUAAAAAUUGCAACUUAGAGGACCAAGAAAAGAAGAGCAAUGUGAUGUGCUUUUCUACUACAUUAAUAGGAUAUGAAUCUGGAGCUUGAUCGCGUUUCCUUCAAGACAGCUUACGCCCUUUGGAAGUUGAAAACACCUUGCACCAUCUGCAACAAGUUCUGUUCUCUUUGUGGACUGAAGUCUUCUCACAGACUAUGUCAGAAUAGAUCUCUGCAGCUAUGAACCAGAAAGCAAUAAGCAUAAUUUCAUAUAGAAAUGGAGUUGGCUACUGAAACAGGCAGUUCAUCUUGACUAAGGCAUUCCCUAUAUCCUUUAGUUGCUUUCCAUGUGUACAAGACAACUGGAGCUUACCAGAAAGACUUGCAAACUGUACACCAAAGAUGGAACACCAGAUUUAGUCUUGUGGGCUAUGAAUGAGCAUUUUCAACAAAGACAUUUGGAGGAAUAUAAAGGACGAGCUGCAAUCAGUGGCAUUGCUGAAGGAAUGACUGUAAAAGAUAUGGCAAGUAAAAAGAUGAUCUUAAAAACUCUUUGUUAAAUCCUUUUUUUGUGAAAUUGUAUAUAGAUUCUUUUUCAUACAGUUAUCCUGUUUUGUUAUGAAGUUAAAAGGAGCCUCUUUGCUAACUGU